rnacentral:rRNA from 1 species
UGCAGUUCGAACGCNUAAAGNUUUCCUUCGGGAGACCGGGUAGGAGUGGCGCACGGCCUGUUAUAACACGAUGGGUAAUUUACCUUUGGGUGGGGAAUAACAGNUCGGAAACGACUGCUAAUACCGCAUAAUGCAGCGGCAGCUCAUGCUGACAGUUGUUAAAGCGGGGGAUCGCAAGACCUCGCGCCUAAAGAGAAGCCCGCGGCGGAUUAGCUAGUUGGUGAGGUAAUGGCUCACCAAGGCGUCGAUCCGUAGCCGGCCUGAGAGGGCGGUCGGCCACACUGACACUGAAUAACGGGUCAGACUCCUACGGGAGGCAGCAGUCGGGAAUUUUGGGCAAUGGGCGCAAGCCUGACCCAGCAACGCCGCGUGAAGGAUGAAAUCUUUCGGGAUGUAAACUUCACAAGAACGGGAAGAAUAAGUAAGUGUAAAUACCACUUAUGAUGACGGUACUGUUUGUAAGCUCCGGCUAACUCCGUGCCAGCAGCCGCGGUAAUACGGGGGGAGCAAGCGUUGUUCGGAUUUACUGGGCGUAAAGGGCGCGUAGGCGGCGCAACAAGUCACUUGUGAAAUCUUCAGGCUUAACCUGAAGCGGCCAAGUGAUACUGUCGUGCUAGAGUGCGGAAGGNGCAACUGGAAUUCUUGGUGUAGCGGUGAAAUGCGUAGAUAUCAAGAGGAACACCUGCGGCGAAGGCCGGGUUGCUGGGCCGACCCUGACGCUGAGGCGCGAAAAGCUANGGGAGCGAAACGGGAUUAGAUACCCCCGGUAGUCCUUAGCCUUAAACCGAUGAAUGCUUUGGUGUUC